UACGAAGGGGGGCUAGCGUUGCUCGGAAUCACUGGGCGUAAAGCGCACGUAGGCGGAUUGUUAAGUCAGGGGUGAAAUCCUGGAGCUCAACUCCAGAACUGCCUUUGAUACUGGCGAUCUCGAGUCCGGGAGAGGUGAGUCGGAACUGCGAGUGUAGAGGUGAAAUUCGUAGAUAUUCGCAAGAACACCAGUGGCGAAGGCGGCUCACUGGGCCCCGGUACUGACGCUGACGGUGCGAAAGCGGUGGGGAGCAAACAGGG
rnacentral:rRNA from 1 species